UAGGGCAUAUAGUUUUAGUAUACGUAUAUGUAUAUGCAUAUACAUUCAAUAAAACGUAAAAUUAUCGGAAAUUUCGAAUUUACAGGGCAUAUUAUUUUCAUUGGUUGCCUGAAUGUGAAAUUAUUAAAAAUUUGAUCAUUUAUUAGAUUGCACGUCCGAAAUGAUUCUGACGUGCAAAUCGAUCGUCUCAAUUUGGUAUAGGGACGAAAGACUAAUCGAACAAUCUAAUAAUUGGUUUCUUCUGAAGUUUUGUUCAAGAGAGCUGGAAUGAAGCUGUUAUAUUCGGAAAAGCGAAUGAUUAGAGGAAUUGUGGGAUGAAACGUCUUCAACCUCUUUUCAAACUUUCAAUGAGUAUGACGUCUCGUUUGCUUAGGUGAAACGUAGACAUUGAACGUGUACUCCACGUGAACUAUUUCUGAUAAACAGAAAUGGCACGCUGUGAGAUGAAUCAAACAUUGAGUGAAAGUAUAAGUCUUCUGCUCAAGCGUCAUCCGUUUUCAGAGUUAGUUGAUGCAGAACAGUAUUUAAUUCGCAUGAUUAUGAUGAUACAAAUACGAUUAACUGAU
rnacentral:ncRNA from 1 species